rnacentral:rRNA from 1 species
AGCUCCAAUAGCGUAUGUUAAAGUUGUUGCGGUUAAAAAGCUCGUAGUUGGAUUUCUGUUUGGAAGGGCCGGUCCGCCUUUUGGGUGAGUAUCUGGUUCCGUCCGGGCAUCUUCUUGGGGGGCGUCUCUGCGCUUAACUGCGUGGAACGAAUUCCAAGACUUUUACUUUGAGGAAAUGAGAGUGUUCACGGCAGGCAAUCGCCCUGAAUCUUUUAGCAUGGAAUAAUACUAUAGGACCUUGGUUCUAUUUUGUUGGUUUCUAGAGCUAAGGUAAUGAUUAAUAGGGAUAAUUGGGGCGAUCAGUAUUAACGCGCUAGAGGUGGAAUUCUUGGAUUGCGUUAAGACUAACUACUGCGAAAGCAUUUCGCAAGGAUGUUUUCA